rnacentral:rRNA from 1 species
GCAUAUCAAUAAGCGGAGGAAAAGAAACCAACAGGGAUUGCCUCAGUAACGGCGAGUGAAGCGGCAAAAGCUCAAAUUUGAAAUCUGGCUCCUUCGGGGUCCGAGUUGUAAUUUGGAGAGGAUGCUCUGGGGGUGGUCGCGGUCUAAGUCCCCUGGAACGGGGCGUCGCAGAGGGUGAGAAUCCCGUCUUCGGCCGGCCGACCAUGCCCGUGUAGAGCUCCUUCGACGAGUCGAGUUGUUUGGGAAUGCAGCUCUAAAUGGGUGGUAAAUUUCAUCUAAAGCUAAAUACUGGUCGGAGACCGAUAGCGCACAAGUAGAGUGAUCGAAAGAUGAAAAGCACUUUGAAAAGAGAGUUAAACAGCAUGUGAAAUUGUUGAAAGGGAAGCACAAGCGACCAGAGUCGGCCGCGGGGGUUCAGCAGGGGUCCUCCCCUGUGUAUUCCCCCGUGGUCGGGCCAGCAUCAGUUCUGGCGGCCGGUCAAAGGCUCCGGGAAUGUGUCGCCCUUCGGGACGACUUAUAGCCCGGGGUGCAAUGCGGCCAGCCGGGACUGAGGAACGCGCUUCGGCACGGAUGCUGGCUUAAUGGCCGUUUGUGGCCCGUCUUGAAACACGGACCAAGGAGUCUAACAUCCACGCGAGUGUUCGGGUGUCAAACCCGUCCGCGCAGUGAGAGCGAACGGAGGUGAGAGCCCCUCGAGGGUGCAUCAUCGACCGAUCCUGAAGUCUUCGGAUGGAUUUGAGUAUGAGCGUGGCUGUUGGGACCCGAAAGAUGGUGAACUAUGCCUGAAUAGGGUGAAGCCAGAGGAAACUCUGGUGGAGGCUCGCAGCGGUUCUGACGUGCAAAUCGAUCGUCAAAUUUGGGUAUAGGGGCGAAAGACUAAUCGAACCAUCUGGUAGCUGGUUCCUGCCGA